GUGAAUCAUCGAAUUUUUGAACGCAAAUUGCACUCUCCGGUUUUCCGGGAGAGUAGGCCUGUUUAGGGGUCGUCCUAAAAAAAAAUCGACAUUGUUGCUGUUUUAUGGUGACUUUCGUCGGAGAUGGGUUAUCUUAAAUCUCGGUUUAAGCGACUUAAUAAUUUUUUUUACGAUUCUUAGGAUGUUUCUAAGUUUUUUCUUGUACGUUUAAGGUAUCGAAUGUCUUAUUAGAUGUGGCCGUCAUAUCGGAUCGGUUUCAUAUUUUUUUUCGUUUACUGACCUCAGCC
rnacentral:misc_RNA from 1 species